UACGAAGGGUGCAAACGUUGCUCGGAAUUAUUGGGCGUAAAGCGCACGUAGGCGGCAUUGCAAGUCGGAUGUGAAAUCUUAUGGCUUAACCAUAAAAGUGCAUCCGAAACUGCAGUGCUUGAGUACUUAAGAGGAUCGCGGAAUUCCCGGUGUAGAGGUGAAAUUCGUAGAUAUCGGGAGGAACACCAGUGGCGAAGGCGGCGAUCUGGGAAGAUACUGACGCUGAGGAUGCGAAAGCGUGGGGAGCAAACAGG
rnacentral:rRNA from 1 species